AACGAACGCUGGCGGCAUGCCUAACACAUGCAAGUCGAACGAGACCUUCGGGUCUAGUGGCGCACGGGUGCGUAACGCGUGGGAACCUGCCCUUAGGUUUGGAAUAACUCCCCGAAAGGGGUGCUAAUACCGGAUAAUGUCUUCGGACCAAAGAUUUAUCGCCUUUGGAUGGGCCCGCGUUGGAUUAGCUAGUUGGUAGGGUAAAAGCCUACCAAGGCGACGAUCCAUAGCUGGUCUGAGAGGAUGAUCAGCCACACUGGGACUGAGACACGGCCCAGACUCCUACGGGAGGAAGCAGUGGGGAAUAUUGGACAAUGGGCGAAAGCCUGAUCCAGCAAUGCCGCGUGAGUGAUGAAGGCCUUAGGGUUGUAAAGCUCUUUUACCCGGGAUGAUAAUGACAGUACCGGGAGAAUAAGCUCCGGCUAACUCCGUG
rnacentral:rRNA from 1 species